GGCCCAGUGGCGGAUGGUCCGCAUCUGCAUGCAAUUUGUAACCAGAGUGGCUUCUGUGCAGAGAAUGCUCGUUCGACUCGAGCCUGGGCCA